AUACAUAUAGGGAGCAGAGAAGCCAGUACUUACUUUGGGCACUUUGGACUGGUGGAGCUAGUAGUGCAACCGGCCUUCUUUCAU
rnacentral:ncRNA from 2 species